UGAGAUAUUCUCUCCUCUACGUAGUCCC
rnacentral:piRNA from 2 species